rnacentral:rRNA from 1 species
CGGUUAAGUGAAUAAGGGCGUACGGUGAAUGCCUUGGUACUAGGAGCCGAUGAAGGACGGGACGAACACCGAUAUGCUCCGGGGAACUGUAAGUAAGUUUUGAUCCGGAGAUUUCCGAAUGGGGCAACCCACCAUAUUGAGAAGUAUGGUAUAUACUAAGUGAAUACAUAGCUUAGUGUAAGGGACACGCGGUGAACUGAAACAUCUCAGUAGCUGCAGGAAGAGAAAACAAAUGUGAUUCCCAUAGUAGCGGCGAGCGAAAUGGGAAGAGGCCAAACGAUCAUGCUUGCAUGAUCGGGUUGUAGGACUCAAGAAUGGACGAUUGUUGUUAGUUGAACACGUUGGAGAGCGUGGCCAAAGAAGGUGACAGCCCUGUAGGCGAAAACAACAUGAACCAAUGAGGAUCCUGAGUACGGCGGAACACGAGAAAUUCCGU